UACGAAGGGGGCUAGCGUUGCUCGGAAUCACUGGGCGUAAAGCGCACGUAGGCGGAUUGUUAAGUCAGGGGUGAAAUCCUGGAGCUCAACUCCAGAACUGCCUUUGAUACUGGCGAUCUUGAGUCCGGGAGAGGUGAGUGGAACUGCGAGUGUAGAGGUGAAAUUCGUAGAUAUCAGGAAGAACACCAACGGCGAAGGCAGCUCGCUGGGACGUUACUGACGCUGAGGCACGAAGGCCAGGGGAGCAAACGGG
rnacentral:rRNA from 1 species